CGGGUGUAGCUCAAUGGUAGAGUUCUGGCCUUCCAAGCCAGCUGUGAGGGUUCGAUCCCCUUCACCCGCUCCA
rnacentral:tRNA from 1 species